GCGGGGCACAGGGCCCGUCCCCCAACCCUAGGACUCUAUAAAAGCUGAUUCCACUGCCGCUUGGGGCUCAGAAGUCAGAGGGGAUAAACUGAGAACUCUUCGGAGCCAGCCGGUUAAUGAAGGCUUUCUCCAUCUCUUCCAGUACCUGGGAUUCCCUGUCUUCACAUCGCUGCAGCUGUGGCACCUGAGCGGCAGUACUUGGGGGCAGCAUUGCGCUGCUCCACUUCACCCAACAGCUUCAUCUUAGUCUCCACUGGGCCACUGGACUCAACAAAGAGACCCUUCCGGAGCCGUGGCGGCCUGUGAGCACAGGACUAAUCAAACACGAAGACUCAGAUGUCUAAGGUCUCUUUUUACACCGUUGGCAACAACCCUCAGGCGAGUCUUCCACGCCCAGAAUCAUCGCACUGACUCAGGUCAGCUGGGUGUUGCGAGUUGACCGUGAGCUCGUCCAGCCCAGCUGGGAGGAAGCUCGGCGCUCAGGAGUCGGCGAUGCAUCUGCUCUGCCACGAGGCCGGGCAGAGGCCGGGCAGUUCCUCGGGGGCCGCGGUCUCCAGGCUGAGCUUUGCUGCACGACUGCUCUUUACUCCACAACCUGCACCCAAACUGCGCCUGAAGCGGUAACCCGGCUCCGUGCCCGUGUCCGGCCCAACAGCCCGAUUCCAUCUCCACCCGGACGCUGCGCCUGCCGCCUUAGUUGCAGGCUCAUCUUCCUCCACGGCAAGUGUCUUCAUCUGGGCCGCUGUUCUCACUCGAGGGGGUUUUGUUGGCCAGGGACCGGGGGCUGAGUCUGGAGACGGAAGGCA
rnacentral:lncRNA from 1 species